rnacentral:rRNA from 1 species
AUGUUUCCAGUGGAAUCCCAAGAUUCUAUGAGUGCACCAGUUCUUGAGCUCGAGAAGGGCGGCGAAGGACGUGGAGCUGGAGAUGGACAGAGAUACGAGGUCUGCUUUGAAGCUACCAGCAGCCGGACGAGGAGGCAAAGAGAAACAGAGCACUUAGGUGGUUCCCUGCUCCGGCGGCGGCUCAACUCCAAUCUGCAGAAAACCGGAUCUGCCAAGGGCAAGGCCCUCGUCCACGGAUCUGGAGGGGAAAAAUCAUUUUCUUCGUUGUUUCGGUCGGUGAGGCUGUAUCACACGUCAAUUACUUGCGCUUUUCUCCUAGCUAUUGUUCAUCAGUUUCAGAUUUGA